rnacentral:rRNA from 1 species
GACGAACGCUGGCGGCGUGCCUAAUACAUGCAAGUAGAACGCAGUUUCGAACGGGUGAGUAACGCGUAGGUAACUGCCUCAUAGCGGGGGAUAACUAUUGGAAACGAUAGCUACUACCGAAUACUGUGAGAUUGACCUGCGUUGUAUUAGCUAGUUGGAGGGGUAAAGGCUCACCAAGGCGACGAUACAUAGCCGACCUGAGAGGGUGGUGGGCCGCACGGGGAGUGAUACGCAGCCCCGACUCUGACGGGCAGCAGGAGUAGGGAAUCGUCGGAAAUGGACAGAAGGCUGACCGGGCAACGCCGCGUGAGUGAAGAAGGUUUUCGGAUCGUAAAGCGCUGUUGUGAGAGAAGCGGUAACGACCCAGAAAGGGACGGCUAACUACGUGCGAGCAGCCGCGUAAUUC